rnacentral:rRNA from 1 species
CUCAACCCCGUGCGUGGCAUGCGAUACUGUGCGGCUGGAGACAGACAGGGGCGAGCGGAAUUCCCGGUGUAGCGGUGGAAUGCGUAGAUAUCGGGAAGAACACCCGUGGCGAAGGCGGCUCGCUGGGUCUCGUCUGACGCUGAAGCGCGAAAGCGUGGGGAGCGAACAGGAUUAGAUACCCUGGUAGUCCACGCCGUAAACGCUGGGUACUAGAUGUUGGGAGGCAUGGCCCUCUCAGUGUCGCAGCUAACGCAUUAAGUACCCCGCCUGGGGAGUACGGCCGCAAGGCUGAAACUCAAAGGAAUUGACGGGGGCCCGCACAAGCGGUGGAGCAUGUGGUUUAAUUCGAAGCAACGCGCAGAACCUUACCAACCCUUGACAUGGGACGUUUGGAUUGUGGAGACACUUUCCUUCAGUUCGGCUGGCGU